UACAGAGGUCCCGAGCGUUGUUCGGAUUCACUGGGCGUAAAGGGCGCGUAGGCGGGGAGGUAAGUCGGGUGUGAAAUCCCUCGGCCCAACUGAGGAACUGCGCCCGAGACUGCUUCUCUUGAGUCCCGGAGAGGAAGAUGGAAUUCCCGGUGUAGCGGUGAAAUGUGUAGAGAUCGGGAGGAACACCGGUGGCGAAGGCGGUCUUCUGGACGGUGACUGACGCUGAGGCGCGAAAGCGUGGGGAGCAAACGGG
rnacentral:rRNA from 1 species